rnacentral:rRNA from 1 species
GGGGGGGGGGGGGGGGGGGGGGAGGGGGGGGGGGUGGAGGGGGGGGGCCGGCUUUGCCUUGUGGAGUGCGGGUACGCGGGGGGCGAACGGGUGAGUAACACGUGAGUGAUCUGCCCCCAACUUGGGUAUAAGCCUGGGAAACUGGGUCUAAUUCCCGAUAGGACUGCAGGGUGGUGCCUGUGGUGGAAAACGAUUUUCUAGUGGUUGGGGAUGGGCUCGCGGCCUAUCAGCUUGUUGGUGGGGUAAUGGCCUACCAAGGCGGCGACGGGUAGCCGGCCUGAGAGGGGGGACGGCGCCAUUGGGACUGAGAUACGGCCCAGACUCCUACGGGAGGCAGCAGUGGGGAAUAUUGCACAAUGGGCGGAAGCCUGAUGCAGCGACGCCGCGUGGGGGAUGACGGCCUUCGGGUUGUAAACUCCUUUCGACCGCGAGGAAGCCACCUGGUUGGAAGGGUGGUGACGGUAGUGGUAGAAGAAGCACCGGCUAACUACGUG